rnacentral:lncRNA from 10 species
ACCCGCAGCUCCGGCGCGGGGGCUGGGGCGGACUCCGGCCGUACCCCGCUGUUUGCAUUUCUCUGGCAGGCGGCGGAGCUUGGGUUGAAAGGAAUCGCCUUCAUUUGGAACGUUGUUUAUUUUUCUUAACUAGCCAGCGCCGACGGACGACCCCGCGAGCACGGAGGCCGGACCCGGCCGAUCCAGCGCUAGAAAGGGGUCAGGACUGGGGGCGGCCAGGCGAGGUGGUGCUGCGAGCGCCCGCACUGGGAAUGUGCCCCGGUGCCCCAGCGGCCGGGAUGGGGGAAGGGUCGUGGCGGGCCCAAGGACUUUCUACCACGUAGGAAAACAGACUUUCUCCUGCCAGAGUUAUCAUACCUUAGCUUUGACCUUGCCUGAGCCGGGGCAGCGAAGCGGUUAAGCUCUUUGGGUUUGGUGUUUGGUCGCCUUGGGUUUCAGUUUCUCCUCCUCGGUUUUUAGCUCCACGACCUUGGUCAAGUCACCUUUGUGACUCAGUUUCCUCGACUCUCAAAUGGGUAUAGUAUAGUGCUUUGCUCCUUGAGUUGCUGUCAGGAUUAGAUGAGACAAUGCACCCUAGCGCAGGAGAUGGAACUUGCCAAGUGCUUAGGAGACGUCAAUUCAUUUUGUGGGGGCUGUGGCGCAGGGUAGGUGGGGUGGGGGUAGCCAGCAAGCGUGGGGCCCACAGAGAAGGGGCUUGAGCUGGAAACCCAUGACUCCCAAGCUCUGGGGAAGGUGCGGGCUGG